rnacentral:lncRNA from 1 species
GUUAAUUUUUUAUUAUCUUUACUCAAGGUAUUAGUCUUUUGAGUUAAGAGUUGAUUGCUUGUCUUAAGUUCUAAAUUUUCUUUGAUAAGAACAUCUUUAUCCUUAACUAAUGAAUCAUACUUACGGAUAUAAGUUUGGUUAGUUACUUUUAGUUCUUUGUUUUUAGCAUUUAUAGCCUUAUAUUCAAUCAUUAGUUCAUUAAAAGCAUCAUAAAGCUCAUCAAAAAUAAAAUCUAAAGGCGAUUCGGACGUUACCUCAUUUUCAUUGGCCAUGAAGUAGAAAUUGGCCUUUUCCUCUUGUUCCUCAUCCGAUGAAGAGAAUGAUGAGUCAGAGUCGGAUAGUGUUGUGACAAGAGCCUUCUUCUUCUUGUACUUGCUCCCCUUCUUCAGUAAAGGGCACUCAGCUCUUAUGUGACCCGGCUUCUUGCACUCGUAACACCCAAUCCCCUCAUUUUCCCUUUCCUUACCUUUGUCCUUGCGGUAGAAAUUUGAGGGGCCUCUCCUUUGAUG